CAACAUGGCCCUGAUCCAAAGCCCAUUGAAGUCAAUGGGAGUCUUUUCACUGACUACAGUGGAUUUUGGAUUAUGCCCUAUAUG
rnacentral:pre_miRNA from 1 species